rnacentral:rRNA from 1 species
UACGAAGGGGGCUAGCGUUGCUCGGAAUCACUGGGCGUAAAGGGUGCGUAGGCGGGUCUUUAAGUCAGGGGUGAAAUCCUGGAGCUCAACUCCAGAACUGCCUUUGAUACUGAGGAUCUUGAGUUCGGGAGAGGUGAGUGGAACUCCGAGUGUAGAGGUGAAAUUCGUAGAUAUUCGGAGGAACACCAGUGGCGAAGGCGGCUCACUGGUCCAUUACUGACGCUGAGGUGCGAAAGCGUGGGGAGCAAACAGG